GACGAACCGUGCGAACGUUGUUCUGAAUCACUGGGCUUAAAGGGCGCGUAGGCGGCUUCGCAAGUCCGGGGUGAAAGCCCCCAGCCCAACUGGGGAAGUGCCUUGGAUACUGCGGGGCUCGAGCGAGGCAGGGGUCGUGGGAACUUCCGGUGGAGCGGUGAAAUGCGUUGAUAUCGGAAGGAACGCCGGUGGCGAAAGCGCACGACUGGUCCUCUUCUGACGCUGAGGCGCGAAAGCCAGGGGAGCAAACGGG
rnacentral:rRNA from 1 species